CUGCUGCCUUCCGUAAGAGUUUGGGCCGUGUCUCAGUCCCAAUGUGGCCGUCCACCCUCUCAGGCCGGCUACUGAUCGCUGCCUUGGUGGGCCGUUACCCCGCCAACUAGCUAAUCAGACGCGGAUCCAUCGUAUACCACCGGAAUUUUUCACACUGCCCCAUGCGGAGCCGUGCGCUUAUGCGGUAUUAGCACCUAUUUCUAAGUGUUAUCCCCCGGUAUACGGCAGGUUAUCCACGCGUUACUCACCCGUCCGCCA
rnacentral:rRNA from 1 species